CCAACUAAGUGGCAACGGUGAGGCUGAGCCGCAAAUUGAAAGAAAAAAAAAAUGGCAGAAUAGCGAAAACAGCGAAAGAGAAACGUGCAAAAUACAUGGCAACAAAAUGACGAUUGCUUUGUGGAUGACCGUGUUUGUGUAAGUGUGAACGUAUAUUGUGUGUGAAUAUGUAUUGAAUAAAGUUCUUUCGGGGCAGGCAGCAAAUUGUUAUACGCGUAUUUGUAAUGGUGCGCGCGGCCCGUAACAAGCAAGAAAGAAGGUGAAAAAAGAAGAACAAGAGCAAUAAAACGCGUACACAGACAACGGGCAACGGCAGCGACAACGACGACAGCAGCAGCGACAGCGACGAACGUCUCAAACUCGGCGCUUUUGCUAUUUGCAGAGAGCACGAGCGCGAGAGCAGGGGUGAAGAAACACACAAAACCAAAAGAGAGCGAGAGAGUGAGAAAGAGCGCGCGUACAACGAGCCGAGCCGAGCCGGAGUCGAGAAAACAACACAACACAACUGCACGACUACACUACACAGCACUACAAAAUAUUUGCAAAAACGAGGAAAGAAAUGUACAAUAAAAAUUAAUCCGAUUGACAGGCAGCAACCGCUUCGCGUCGUCGUCGUCUGUCGUUCGUCGUUCUCUCGCUCGGCCUUCGUUGGCCUGUUGGGUUUCUGUUGCUUUUGAUAAAUUUCUGCGACUUCCGCGCGCGCCCAUCCAAAAACAACACCGAAACUAAACUACAACAACUAUUUGUAGUUGCUGCUGCUCUUGCUGCUGCGACGUCGGCUCUGCUGCGACGACGCUGCUGCGCGACUGCGAGCGCUCUUCUUCCUUCUACACUUCCAACAUUGCCCAGCAAUCAGCGGCAGCAGCAGCAGCGCGACCCAACCGGCGUCUUUGUUAUUUCGCGAUGAGCGCGUCGACGCUGGCAGCGACGCUGACGACGCCAUUGCCCAAAUUAUGUUCGUAUUUAUACACACACAUAUAUACAUAUAUAUACAUAACAUGCAUGUACAUUUACAUAGUGUUGUGUGACUGUGAAUAUAAGAGCAAUUUAAAUUAUAAUGCAAAAAAUAAAAAAUUGCUACAAAACUUAUGUCAAUUUAAAUUAAAUUAAAAAAAUAUAAAUAAAUUCAAAUAAAAUGUAUUAUUAUCUACAAAGAUCCAAACAUGAAUACUAUAGAGCUCUUGUAAUUCGGUUUAAGUACAUUUAAGUAGUUUUUUUUUCAUCAUAUAACAGUUUAAUCCUGUUCGUGCUGCCAACAGUUCUGUUAGGGCCGCAGUCACUUUCAGCUCCAAAUAGCGUUAAAAAGGAAGGAAGCUAACUUUAUGGUGUCGACGCGUCGCAGCGUUGUUUGCGGUUGCUGAACAUAACAACAGCUGGGCGCUGGACGUCGCGACGUUGCUGCCCGCUUCACGUUUCCCGUUGCCUUGUUGAGAGUGAGAGCGGAAGAUGGAAGCGCGAAGAAAAAAUUAGCAAAUGCAAACGCAAAUACACUCACAAAAGUUGUAGCGGGCCAAAUUGGCAACACUAACAACGGGCCAAGAGCUAGGAAGACAACAAAUGAUAACAAACUUUGUGAGCUGAGCCCACAAUGCAAACGAAAUGGGCGACGACGACGAAGACGACUUAAUUUUUCGGCUUGCUCCACUCACGUGCGCGCGAAUGAGAUAAAUCUAUGAUGAUGUUGAUGUUGUUGAUGGGAGCUACAAAAGCAAAAGCGUGCGAAAAGGCCCGCGAGUCGCAGAUGUAGACGUAGCGAGAACGAGCCGAGACAAAACCAAAUUCGAGCGUGAGCAACGUCCCUCUCUCUACAAUAAAUACUUCAAUACGUGUG